GGUGAGGUGCCAGAGUGGCCGAAUGGGGCGGUUUGCUAAACCGUUGUGCGGAGUAAUCCGUACCGUGGGUUCGAAUCCCACCCUCACCGCCA
rnacentral:tRNA from 1 species